AACUUUCAGCAACGGAUCUCUUGGUUCCAGCAUCGAUGAAGAACGCAGCGAAAUGCGAUAAGUAAUGUGAAUUGCAGAAUUCAGUGAAUCAUCGAAUCUUUGAACGCACAUUGCGCCCCUCGGUAUUCCGGGGGGCAUGCCUGUUCGAGCGUCAUUACACCCCUCAAGCGUAGCUUGGUAUUGGGCCUUCGCCCCCGCGGCGUGCCCGAAAAGCAGUGGCGGUCCGGUGUGACUUUAAGCGUAGUAAAUUUUCACCCCGCUUUGAAAGUUCGUCCCGUGGCUUGCCAGACAACUCCAUUUACUUCAAUGAUUGACCUCGGAUCAGGUAGGGAUACCCGCUGAACUUAAGCAUAUCAAUAAGCGGAGGCU
rnacentral:misc_RNA from 1 species